rnacentral:ncRNA from 1 species
GUUCAAAAAAGGAAGGGCUUACGGUGGAUACCUAGGCACCCAGAGACGAGGAAGGGUGUGGUAAGAGAUGAAAUGCUUCGGGGAGUUGAAAAUGAGCAUAGAUCUGGAGAUUCCCGAAUAGGUUAACCUUUUUAACUGCUGCUGAAUCCAUGGGCAGGCAAGAGACAACCUAGUGAACUGAAACAUCUUAGUAGACAGAGGAAUAGAAAGCAAAAGCGAUUCUCGUAGUAGCAGUGAGUGAAAUGGGAGCAGCCUAAACCGUGAAAACGGGGUUGUGGGAGAGCACAAUAUAAGCUCUGUGCUUCUAGGCGAACCUGUUGAGUCCUGCACCCUAGAUGGUGAGAGUC